rnacentral:lncRNA from 10 species
GUUUAAAACACAAAUCUCAAUUUUUCCUUUCCUUUAGCUGAAAUAAUAAAUAAGAUAGAUUUUGCUAUGAUUAGGAAGGAAAGAUAUCAGUGCCUAGAUUAUCCCAUAUAAAGGAGUUCACUCACUUUUAAGAUGCAAUCUAUUUUUGCCUUAAAUGUCUUCUGCAAACAGCCUUGCCACUUCAGUGCUUGUGAGUUGAUGUAUGUGUCAAGAGAACUGAGCCAGGUCCCGGCUGUGCCGCAAAUCAUUCACGUGGUGCAGAUGGACACACGUUCUGUUAGUCAAAUAAGCAUAUUAGAUUCAAUGACUAUGAAACUCUCCUUCCAGGUCAAAUAGCCUGUUAUUUGUGCAUUCCAGUAUGAUCAUUGCCAUUUAUUUAAAGUAUUUCUACCUAUACAGAUAUUAGUUACUAGCGACUCAAGUACACGUUAGAAUUAAUUGUUUAAAAGAGCAAAUAAACCUCUCACCGCAAUGGCAAUUAAAGACACCCAGUCCUGCUGUGUGCUUCCUCCAUUUGCUUCUAGUGGCAGUUUCGUGUGCAUUUUUGGUGAUGAUGCUCCACGGAACAUCUGCAGAUGUGCUGUCAAUUUGGACAGCUCUGACUACCGAGUGAAUGGGAAGUACUAACGAGAACUGUCUGCUUGGGAACUCCAUGAAGUUCGUGGCUUUUGUGAUUGAAAUAGCAUCAAUAAAAGGUUGACACUGUGGAACAACACAAGCCUGCAUGGACCUGGUUAUCUCUGACCUCGCACCACUCAUGAGACCAUACCUGAGCCCUACUCCACUUUGGCAGAACUGUUGCAUGGCCUCUCUUCAUAUAAUACCUCUCCGUACACCGUACACCGCAGCUCAAAGAAAGGAUAUAUGCUCCCUGUGAAGACUAAUGGAACUGUCCCUCCUGAUCCUCCUACAGACUUCCUCUGGCCUAAUGGGUGCACCAUUGCAUUAUAUCUGCCAUCUAUACACACAUAUACCUUUCAACCCUGCACUCUCUGAGAUGACUGGACUCAUGCCUAAAUAACUGAUGCUGUCCCUAGUGUAAGGUAAGCACUCAAUAGUUUCUCAGGAAAUGAAUAUGAUAAAUAUUUUGGCUGUUUAGAGGCUUUCCUUCACUUCAUUUUCUGUGUCCUCUUAUUUAAAAAGAAGUGCUCACUAGAGGUUACCUGAAGACAUAUCUGAUCCUUGAAACCUGCAGUAGUCUAACACAGAGGCCAAGAUCACAGGUCUUCAUAAAAGUAAUACUUUCCUCAUGACAAUGAAGUGCCACAGGGCCAACUCAAAAAUUGAGACUGAGCCUGGGAGGCCAUGUGGGUUCUCGGCUUUGUGCGGGCAGGAAUUCGACAGCCAGCCAACAGAGUGAAGAGAAAGCAAGUUUACUAAGAAAGUAAAGGAAUAACAGGGUGGCUAUGCCAUAGGCAGAGCAGCCCUGAGUGCUGCUGGUUGGCUUUUUCUAUGGUUAUUUCUUGAUUAUAUGCUAAACAAGGGGUGGAUUAUUCAUGAGUUUUGGGGGAAUGGGAGGACAGUUAUGGGAACUAAUGUUUCCUCCCCCUUUCAGACUAUAUAGGGUAAUUCUUGAUGCUACCAUCGCAUUUGUAAAUUGCCAUGGCAUUGGUAGGAGUUUCUUUGAGCAAGUUAACGUAUUAUAAUUAGCAUAUAAUGAGCAGUGAGGACAACCAGAGGUUGCUUUUGUGGCCAUCUUGGUUUUGGUGGGUUUUGGCUGGCUUCUUUACUGCAUCCUGUUUUAUCAGGUUUUUUUUGUUUUUUUGGUUUGUUUGUUUUUUGAGCUAGGUCUUGUAAAACAGUCCUGCCAACUUCCUAUCUCAGAAUCACAUGUCUCUCAUUGUCCUAGCUCAGGGUGAUAACACGGGAGGCAUGCCAGGUUACUUGUCACCCAAUAUUCAUUCUCCUGUUCUGAGUCAGAAAUGAAUGAGGGGCUUGGCUGUGAUGUUCUCCUCUGGACAGAGCCCUCACUUCCCAGCUGACUUGAGGCUGGUGUGGCCUUGUGUCCAGGUAUGUGGCCAACAGAGAUGUAAGUAGAAAUCUUACCAAUUCUUCCAGGAAGUCUUUUCAAAGAGAGACUGGACGACCUUCUCUCUUUCUCUCUCCAUCCUGCUGCUUGGGAAAGGGAUGUGACAUCUGGAGUCCUGGCAGCCACCUUGGAGCACAAGAUUAAGAGCCCCAGCUAAGGCAGGCAGAGUGGCUGGCGGAAGGGAGCAAGGGCCCCUGGGGAACUUACUGCUUACCCUGGGCUUCUUUAAAGUGGAAAAAAAAAAAAAAAAGAAAUUCCACUUCCUAUCAGCUCUUUUAUUCUGGAUGUCUCAGCCAAACACACCCAAACCCAAUACUGACAUAAGUUAUUUGUCAGUAUUGACAAAUAUUUGUAAAGUCUUCACUUUUGAAAUUAAAUAUAUUCACCGUGCUGUGUAAAGUAUAAUAUGAAUGCUUUUUUAAAAGUUAUUUGUUUACUGGGAUUAUAUUUGCCUGUGUGAGCCAAAAGAAGCAUUUCUGCCUAUUACCGUGGGAGUUUUCAGAGCAUGGGUCUAGGUGGCGAUAUCCCCACUGAAUCAAAAGGCAGACUCAGAAGUGGUUUUACAAAGAGAAAUAUGAACACUUUUCUCAUUGUGAGAUAACCAUUACAUCUCAGUUUAAAGAUCCAAAGCUAAUUUUGGAAAUUAUUUUUAAGGCACAGAGGAAAAACAUCAUGUGAGCUCACAGGUCUGACACAGUUGUGAACAGCUUGUUUUCUUAUAGAAAUGCUGUGGUGGCUGCCUGGGCUAGGGCAUUUGCAUUUCAACCAAAUGUUCUUUCAAAGUCAGAGCCAGAGCAGCUAGAAGCUUCCUUAAAACCAGGUGAACCCUAAACGUAGAAAUAGGAAAAACAGUGGCCUCCACUGUGUCCUUUCACAUCUCGGCCUCUGAACUUCAGCCUGAGACACUGGAAAGCUGCACCCUUCCUCUGUCUCCUCAAAUCCUGCAAGCCCCAAGGCACAUCACCCGACAUCAAAAGGCCAUCCUCAUUUCAGGUGGAUGUCCCAUUUGACUGACAGCAGCUACUUGUGUUUCAGAAUAGGAUUUGCUUAAAAAUCACUUGGUAUCCUUGUGAGCAGGGAGUCUCCCAAGGCCUGACUCCACAUUCUGCAGCAUUAGGUGAGCACAUGACCCAAAAAUCUAUGUCAUUUAUUACUUCCCAGGCACAUUGACUCAGAUGCUCCUUGGACCAUUCUCAGGAGUAUUGGUGUCGAUAUUACUGAUCUCAAAAUGAAACCAUCCCAGUUUCCCCAUGGAAAUGAUGUUUACCAGGUUUGGAUGGUUCUUUUGAAUAAACAGAAAUUGAUCCUCUGAUCUUAAAACUUGAAACUUACAUUUGUCUUAUCUGAGUUCCUUUCUUGGGCAAGGAACUGAAACUCACUAGAUGAACACAUCCAGGCUCUAAGACACCAGACCCCUCAUCCUUCAUGAUUGUUUCCUCAUGCCUCCCUAAUUUCUGUUUUUCUGCAUGUAGUUACAUUCCUGUGCACUAUAUUAAACCCCAGUGUUAGUCAGCUGGCGGGACAGGUUUGAGAAUUAUCUCUUGUCUUCUUGGCUAACACUACUCAAAUAGUGCUUUCUUCCUGGACAAUAUUUGUCAUCUCAGAGAUUGUCUUUCCAUGCAGGGAGCAAAGAGACCUGGACCUAACCCCUGGUGUUUUAGUAACAAAAAUUCAAAUCUUAAAAGGUGUUAUAUAUCAUAUCCUCCACUCCUAUAUGUCUAUAUUUGAG